rfam:Schistosoma rodhaini strain Burundi genome assembly, scaffold: SROB_scaffold0001702
GCACUACUGAAGAGUCUCACAGUAGAACGAAACGGUCGUCCAGUGC